AUGAACGCUAGCGACAGGCCUAACACAUACAAGUCAGGGGCAGCACAAGGAGCAAUCUGAGGUGGCGACCGGCGCACGGGUGAGUAACACGUAUGCAACCUGCCUGUAAGCGGGGAAUAACCCGUUGAAAGACGGACUAAUACCGCAUAAUACUAAAUUACUGCAUGGUAAUUUAUUUAAACAUUUAUGGCUUACAGAUGGGCAUGCGCAUGAUUAGCUAGUUGGAGAGGUAACGGCUCCCCAAGGCAACGAUCAUUAGGGGUUCUGAGAGGAAGGUCCCCCACACUGGUACUGAGACACGGACCAGACUCCUACGGGAGGCAGCAGUGAGGAAUAUUGGUCAAUGGACGAGAGUCUGAACCAGCCAAGUCGCGUGCAGGAAGAAUGUCCCUAUGGAUUGUAAACUGCUUUUGCAGGGGAAUAAAGUGCAUCACGUGUGAUGUUUUGUAUGUACUCUGCGAAUAAGGAUCGGCUAACUCCGUGCCAGCCGCCGC
rnacentral:rRNA from 1 species